rnacentral:rRNA from 1 species
CGAGUGAAGCGGGAAGAGCUCAAAUUUGUAAUCUGGCACUUUCAGUGUCCGAGUUGUAAUCUCGAGAAGUGUUUUCCGCGCCGGACCGCAUACAAGUCUGUUGGAAUACAGCGUCAUAGUGGUGAGAACCCCGUAACUGAUGCGGAUGCCCGGUGCUUUGUGAUACACUUUCGAAGAGUCGAGUUGUUUGGGAAUGCAGCUCAAAUUGGGUGGUAAAUUCCAUCUAAAGCUAAAUAUUGGCGAGAGACCGAUAGCGAACAAGUACCGUGAGGGAAAGAUGAAAAGCACUUUGGAAAGAGAGUUAACAGUACGUGAAAUUGUUGGAAGGGAAACGCAUGAGGUCAGACUUGCUAUUUGGAAUUCAGCCGCAAGGUGUACUUUUCAAUUCGCAGGCCAGCAUCAGUUUUCGGGGGUGGAAAAGGGUAGAGAGAAGGUAGCUGUUUCGGCAGUGUUAUAGCUCUUUGCUGGAUUC